CUUAUCGAGAGUGGUGGAGGGAACGGCCCGAUGAAGCCCGGCAACCUGCGUACAGCGCAAGGUGCCAAAUCCGGCGAGGAAAUCGAAAGAUGAGG
rnacentral:ncRNA from 1 species